rnacentral:rRNA from 1 species
AUGUUCUUUGAGACUCCAACUAUGAGAUCUUGUAGACCACAAUUGGAGAAUGCUAGAACUGGCAUCAUUCGAGUGACUAAGGGCACUCUUUUAGAGGACCAGAUUAUUUUACAACUCAAGAGAUUAGUCUCUAGUUCUUUUCAGUGGGCUCUCGUCCAGAUUGAUGAGAUGACGUUUAAGGUUGACUAUCCCACGAAAUUUGAUCUAGACAGGAUUAAUGAGUUUGGCAUGUGCAAAGUUCCUGGCAGUGCAUGUAUUCUAGAGUUUGAUGAGUGGAAGCGCAAUGAUCCGGUGGGAGUGCUGCUUGUUCAGAUUUGGGUCAGAUUUUUUGGGCUACCCCCGGAACCGCUUAAUGAUUACUUGGAGACUUGGAGCCUAGGAUCUCUUAUUGGAAAGACUCUGGAGGUCGAUAUGCCUUUUACUCGUAUGCAUGGCAUUGCACGUAUGCGUGUGGGAGUUCUGGAUGCGAAUGCGGUCCCGUGCUUUUUAGAUUGGGUUUAUGAGGGCAUGAGUUAUGAUCUGAGGAUUGAGAUUGAGGGAGUUCCGAUGAUCCAAGAUGCAGACAAAGGCAUGAGUGCUGAUGGUGGGACUGACGGUGGUGAUGGCAGCCAAGAUGAUCUCAUGGACCAUAAUCAGCCUGCAAACAAGUCUGAUGCUCCCGAGGGGCAGGGUAAGGAGUCCGAAGCCCCAGUGGGCAAGGCCUCCAGUUCGGCGCCCAUAGCAGGUCUUCGCCGUGAGGCGCUGGAUGCGAUGGUGCCACCAUCUCGGACUCACAGAACAAUGGAGGAUGAUGGCCACACUCCUACGGCUGCGAGGAGCAUGACCCCCGCCCCCACAUCUCAGCCCAAGACAGGUCUUCGCUUUGGGUCCUUUGGAGCUGUCUCGGCACCUGGGCGCCUGUGGGGAGAUCGGAUGGAGAGAGAUGACCCCGUUGAGCAUGUCUUACCUCCGUUAUCUCCUGUCCGGUUUUCUUUCGCGGGUGGUGAUGCGUUGGCGGUGCCGAUGUCACCUAAGGGAAGCGGCUCGAGGCAGGCGACCUUAGUUCUUCCUUCUUCGGCGGACGUCACAUCUCGGCAUGCUACUCCUUCGCCUAAACGACCGCACGAGGCGGAUAUGGCCGUGGAGGGGUAUGGGCUUUCUUCCGCUCCGAUUUCAUAG